UGCAGUCGAGCGGAACGAUCCCAGCUUGCUGGGAGGCGUCGAGCGGCGGACGGGUGAGUAAUGCAUAGGAAUCUGCCCGAUAGUGGGGGAUAACCUGAGGAAACUCAGGCUAAUACCGCAUACGUCCUACGGGAGAAAGCAGGGGCUCUUCGGACCUUGCGCUAUCGGAUGAGCUUAUGUCGGAUUAGCUGGUUGGUGAGGUAACGGCUCACCAAGGCGACGAUCCGUAGCUGGUCUGAGAGGAUGAUCAGCCACAUCGGGACUGAGACACGGCCCGAACUCCUACGGGAGGCAGCAGUGGGGAAUAUUGGACAAUGGGGGCAACCCUGAUCCAGCCAUGCCGCGUGUGUGAAGAAGGCCCUCGGGUUGUAAAGCACUUUCAGUGAGGAAGAAAGCUUGUCGGUUAAUACCCGGCAAGGACGACAUCACUCACAGAAGAAGCACCGGCUAACUCCGUGCCAGCAGCCGCGGUAAUACGGAGGGUGCGAGCGUUAAUCGGAAUUACUGGGCGUAAAGCGUGCGUAGGCGGCUUGGUAAGCCGGUUGUGAAAGCCCCGGGCUCAACCUGGGAACGGCAUCCGGAACUGUCAGGCUAGAGUGCAGGAGAGGAAGGUAGAAUUCCCGGUGUAGCGGUGAAAAUGCGUAGAGAUCGGGAGGAAUACCAGUGGCGAAGGCGGCCUUCUGGACUGACACUGACGCUGAGGUACGAAAGCGUGGGUAGCAAACAGGAUUAGAUACCCUGGUAGUCCACGCCGUAAACGAUGUCGACUAGCCGUUGGGGUCCUCGAGACCUUUGUGGCGCAGUUAACGCACUAAGUCGACCGCCUGGGGAGUACGGCCGCAAGGUUAAAACUCAAAUGAAUUGACGGGGGCCCGCACAAGCGGUGGAGCAUGUGGUUUAAUUCGAUGCAACGCGAGACCUUACCUACCCU
rnacentral:rRNA from 1 species